rnacentral:tRNA from 1 species
GGGCCUGUAGCUCAGUUGGUCAGAGCGCACCCCUGAUAAGGGUGAGGUCAGUCGUUCAAAUCGACUCAGGCCCACCA